UAUCUGAUAUAGUUCUACACUAAAGAAUGCUCAUUAAUAUAAAUUUAGGUUUCAGAACAAUAUUCCAGUUAUGAUUAGCUUCCUAAAAGGAGCACUAAACUGAGGAAACAUAGCGUAAAUUGCUAGUGGUUAACAAUAAAAGCUCGAAAACGUAAAGUUGCCGUUUUUCUAUAUAAUAACCAUUUUAUCAAUGUCUUUUAGCCGCAUAAAAACCAAAUGAGGAAUGAAAACGCUCUAAUUUCAUCUAUAGGAAACGUUGCAACUUAAUGGAGUGGUCGCUCUAUUUGCCAAGGAGAAGACAAAUUCAUUUGUUGAUGACAUCUUCAUCUAUAAGCGUGGUGAAAAUAAAAUCCAAUGAAGAAUCUUUGAAAAACAUUAGAACAGAUGUUGGUUGCACAAGGAUGAAGAAGCUUGAAAUCGAAGAUUCAACUGAAAAUGGAAGCAAUUGAACA